UGCUAUACAUGCAGUCGAACGCUUUUUCUUUCACCGGAGCUUGCUCCACCGAAAGAAAAAGAGUGGCGAACGGGUGAGUAACACGUGGGUAACCUGCCCAUCAGAAGGGGAUAACACUUGGAAACAGGUGCUAAUACCGUAUAACACUAUUUUCCGCAUGGAAGAAAGUUGAAAGGCGCUUUUGCGUCACUGAUGGAUGGACCCGCGGUGCAUUAGCUAGUUGGUGAGGUAACGGCUCACCAAGGCCACGAUGCAUAGCCGACCUGAGAGGGUGAUCGGCCACACUGGGACUGAGACACGGCCCAGACUCCUACGGGAGGCAGCAGUAGGGAAUCUUCGGCAAUGGACGAAAGUCUGACCGAGCAACGCCGCGUGAGUGAAGAAGGUUUUCGGAUCGUAAAACUCUGUUGUUAGAGAAGAACAAGGAUGAGAGUAGAACGUUCAUCCCUUGACGGUAUCUAACCAGAAAGCCACGGCUAACUACGUGCCAGCAGCCGCGGUAAUACGUAGGUGGCAAGCGUUGUCCGGAUUUAUUGGGCGUAAAGCGAGCGCAGGCGGUUUCUUAAGUCUGAUGUGAAAGCCCCCGGCUCAACCGGGGAGGGUCAUUGGAAACUGGGAGACUUGAGUGCAGAAGAGGAGAGUGGAAUUCCAUGUGUAGCGGUGAAAUGCGUAGAUAUAUGGAGGAACACCAGUGGCGAAGGCGGCUCUCUGGUCUGUAACUGACGCUGAGGCUCGAAAGCGUGGGGAGCGAACAGGAUUAGAUACCCUGGUAGUCCACGCCGUAAACGAUGAGUGCUAAGUGUUGGAGGGUUUCCGCCCUUCAGUGCUGCAGCAAACGCAUUAAGCACUCCGCCUGGGGAGUACGACCGCAAGGUUGAAA
rnacentral:rRNA from 1 species